rnacentral:rRNA from 1 species
AGUCGAGCGGAUGAGGAGAGCUUGCUCUCUGAUUCAGCGGCGGACGGGUGAGUAAUGCCUAGGAAUCUGCCUGGUAGUGGGGGACAACGUUUCGAAAGGAACGCUAAUACCGCAUACGUCCUACGGGAGAAAGUGGGGGAUCUUCGGACCUCACGCUAUCAGAUGAGCCUAGGUCGGAUUAGCUAGUUGGUGGGGUAACGGCUCACCAAGGCGACGAUCCGUAACUGGUCUGAGAGGAUGAUCAGUCACACUGGAACUGAGACACGGUCCAGACUCCCACGGGAGGCAGCAGUGGGGAAUAUUGGACAAUGGGCGAAAGCCUGAUCCAGCCAUGCCGCGUGUGUGAAGAAGGCCCUCGGGUCGUAAAGCACUUUAAGCUGGGAGGAAGGGUUGUAACCUAAUACGUUGCAGCUUUGACGUUACCAGCAGAAUAAGCACCGGCUAACUCUGUGCCAGCAGCCGCGGUAAUACAGAGGGUGCAAGCGUUAAUCGGAAUUACUGGGCGUAAAGCGCGCGUAGGUGGCUUGGUAAGUUGAAUGUGAAAUCCCCGGGCUCAACCUGGGAACUGCAUCCAAAACUGCCUGGCUAGAGUACGGUAGAGGGUGGUGGAAUUUCCUGUGUAGCGGUGAAAUGCGUAGUAUAUAGGAAGGUACACCAGUGGCGAAGGCG